rnacentral:rRNA from 1 species
GACAGAGGGUGCAAACGUUGUUCGGAAUUACUGGGCGUAAAGCGCGUGUAGGCUGCUCAGAAAGUCGGAUGUGAAAGCCCCGGGCUCAACCUGGGAAUGGCAUUUGGGACUGCAAGGCUUGAGUGCGGCAGAGGAGACUGGAAUUCCUGGUGUAGCAGUGAAAUGCGUAGAUAUCAGGAGGAAUACCGAUGGCGAAGGCAGGUCUCUGGGCUGACACUGACGCUCAUGCACGAAAGCGUGGGGAGCAAACAGG